CAUGCGAGUCGAGAGGGUUCGGCCCUCGGCUGACGGCUCAGUAACACGUGGAUAAUCUGCCCUUAGUGGAGGAUACCCUCGGGAAACUGAGAAUAAUACUCCAUAGUCUAGAUGCUGGAAUGCACUUAACUGAAAAUUCUGGUGCCUAAGGAUGAGUCUGCGGACUAUCAGGUAGUAGUCAGGGUAAAGACCUGACUAGCCUAUGACGGAUACGGGUUGUGAGAGCAAUAACCCGGAGAUGAUAUCUGAGACACGAUAUCAGCCCUACGGGGCGCACAGGCGCGAAAACUUCACAAUGUGCGAAAGCACGAUGAGGGAAUCCCAAGUGCUUGCACGUAAGUGCAAGCUGUUUCUAUGUCUAAAACACAUAGAGAGUAAGGGCUGGGUAAGACGGGUGCCAGCCGCCGCGGUAAUACCUGCAGCUCGAGUGGUGGCCGCUAUUAUUGGGCCUAAAACGUCCGUACCGGUUUAAUAAAUGCCCGGGUAAAUUGUAUAGCUUAACUAUACGAAUUCCGGGUAGACUGAUAAACUUGAGACCGGGGGAAGUUAGAGGUACUCCUGGGGUAAGGUGAAAUUCUGUAAUCCUAGGGGGACCACCGGUGGCGAAGGCGUCUGACUAAAACGGGUCUGACGGUGAGGGACGAAGCCCCUGGGGCGCAAACGGGAUUAAUACCCCGGUAGUCCAGGGUGUAAACGCUUGCUUGCUUGAUGUUAGUCGGGCUUCGAGCCCGAUUAGUG
rnacentral:rRNA from 1 species